GGUGGUAUACGAUGGAUCCGCGUCUGAUUAGCUGGUUGGCGGGGUAAAGGCCCACCAAGGCGACGAUCAGUAGCCGGCCUGAGAGGGUGAACGGCCACAUUGGGACCGAGACACGGCCCAAACUCCUACGGGAGGCAGCAGUGGGGAAUAUUGCACAAUGGGGGAAACCCUGAUGCAGCGACGCCGCGUGAGUGAAGAAGUAUUUCGGUAUGUAAAGCUCUAUCAGCAGGGAAGAAAAUGACGGUACCUGACUAAGAAGCCCCGGCUAACUACGUGCCAGCAGCCGCGGUAAUACGUAGGGGGCAAGCGUUAUCCGGAUUUACUGGGUGUAAAGGGAGCGUAGACGGCAGCGCAAGUCUGGAGUGAAAUCCCAUGGCUUAACCAUGGAACUGCUUUGGAAACUGUGCAGCUGGAGUGCAGGAGAGGUAAGCGGAAUUCCUAGUGUAGCGGUGAAAUGCGUAGAUAUUAGGAGGAACACCAGUGGCGAAGGCGGCUUACUGGACUGUAACUGACGUUGAGGCUCGAAAGCGUGGGGAGCAAACAGGAUUAGAUACCCUGGUAGUCCCCGCUGUAAACA
rnacentral:rRNA from 1 species